UUAACACAUGCAAGUCGAACGGUGAAGCCCAGCUUGCUGGGUGGAUCAGUGGCGAACGGGUGAGUAACACGUGAGUAACCUGCCCCUGACUCUGGGAUAAGCCUUGGAAACGAGGUCUAAUACCGGAUACGUGACGCUCAGGCAUCUGAUGCGUCUGGAAAGAUUUAUCGGUCAGGGAUGGACUCGCGGCCUAUCAGCUUGUUGGUGGGGUAACGGCCCACCAAGGCGACGACGGGUAGCCGGCCUGAGAGGGCGACCGGCCACACUGGGACUGAGACACGGCCCAGACUCCUACGGGAGGCAGCAGUGGGGAAUAUUGCACAAUGGGCGCAAGCCUGAUGCAGCGACGCCGCGUGAGGGAUGAAGGCCUUCGGGUUGUAAACCUCUUUCAGCAGGGAAGAAGCGCAAGUGACGGUACCUGCAGAAGAAGCGCCGGCUAACUACGUGCCAGCAGCCGCGGUAAUACGUAGGGCGCAAGCGUUGUCCGGAAUUAUUGGGCGUAAAGAGCUCGUAGGCGGUUUGUCGCGUCUGCUGUGAAAACUCGAGGCUCAACCUCGGGCUUGCAGUGGGUACGGGCAGACUAGAGUGCGGUAGGGGAGACUGGAAUUCCUGGUGUAGCGGUGGAAUGCGCAGAUAUCAGGAGGAACACCGAUGGCGAAGGCAGGUCUCUGGGCCGCAACUGACGCUGAGGAGCGAAAGCAUGGGGAGCGAACAGGAUUAGAUACCCUGGUAGUCCAUGCCGUAAACGUUGGGCACUAGGUGUGGGGCUCAUUCCACGAGUUCCGUGCCGCAGCAAACGCAUUAAGUGCCCCGCCUGGGGAGUACGGCCGCAAGGCUAAAACUCAAAGAAAUUGACGGGGGCCCGCACAAGCGGCGGAGCAUGCGGAUUAAUUCGAUGCAACGCGAAGAACCUUACCAAGGCUUGACAUACACCGGAAACUUCCAG
rnacentral:rRNA from 1 species